GACAGGAGAUUUGGGCGGGGUCGCACAUCCAAACCGUAUCCCCACUUGUUUCCCACCAAAUGGUCUGCCCUUAGCCAGUCCCUCUGACUUUCUCAGUAAGAAAGUGCGAACUGAGGUGCCUGAGUGGCAGAGCUGGGAUUGGAAAGCAACGUAGUGGAUCCCAGAGUCAACAUUCCGUUUUUGCGGGGUGGGGGUUGGAGGAGUUGGGAGGUCUUACUAUAUUGCCCAGGCUGGUCUCGAAUUCCCAUAGGCUCAAGCGAUCCUCCCGAGUGCGGAGAUUACAGGGUCACCACCUCCCUCAGACGUUUCUGGGACAGAUCCAAGCCAGCAGAGCAGCUGCUCGCUCCAGAGCCGUGGUGUCUUCCUGGUGCAUCAGCGCCACCGCGUGGCAAAACAGGGCAACUGUAGGAAUCGACUUUCCAUCUAUUUGGAGCUCAUCAGUGCUUUUCUUUUAGACUCAUAUGGCAGGAACAAGAAGUGCACAUGCCAAAAGAAAGGCAGAGGACUGCAGGAGCAAGACGGGUUGCAAGGGGCGUG
rnacentral:lncRNA from 1 species